rnacentral:rRNA from 1 species
GUGCCAGCAGCGCGGUAAUACGUAGGUGGCAAGCGUUAUCCGGAAUUAUUGGGCGUAAAGCGCGCGUAGGCGGUUUCUUAAGUCUGAUGUGAAAGCCCACGGCUCAACCGUGGAGGGUCAUUGGAAACUGGGAAACUUGAGUGCAGAAGAGGAAAGUGGAAUUCCAUGUGUAGCGGUGAAAUGCGCAGAGAUAUGGAGGAACACCAGUGGCGAAGGCGACUUUCUGGUCUGUAACUGACGCUGAUGUGCGAAAGCGUGGGGAUCAAACAGGAUUAGAUACCUGGUAGUCCCU